CCGAACGGCCACCUUCGGUGGACGCUCCUAUGAGCUCACGUCAUCAUGGUAGACUGGUGGUGCAGCGACCCUGCUCCAGGCAAUGCCUAUGAGACGUCUUCAGGUACGACGGUGGCAGGAUGGAGCUUUGAGGGCCUCCAGUUUGGUGGUGGUAUGCGCGUAAAAUGGAGGAAGUGGUUACACUAUCUAUUUAAAACAUGCAGCAGGCACAAAAUAAGUUUAUGGAUCGACGCAUGCUUUGCUCCUGUGCUCCUCUGUCCGUGCUAAGGUUACAGAUACCAAUAAGGCCAGUGGUAUGGUUCAGUGGAGGUAUCGGCCAGUGGUGUUGUCAAGAAUAUCGUCCCAGCCAUGCUGCUGCUUGUGCAUUGGAAGCUUUGAAGCUCCCCUUUGGCUGCAGCAGAAGUGUGUCAAAUUAUAUCAUGUGUUCCCUUCACUUGGUACUAUCCAAAAGGUUGCAAUGUUGAAACAGAAUGGUGAAAUGCAGGCCAUGAUUCCAUAGUCAGGUAUGUGCCGAUAAUCUGUAGGAUCUACCAUGAUGACAUCAUACCUUCUGAUUCUGAUAUAUCGAAUGUGACCUGAGGCUAUAAUUUGGCCACUCGCAUAUAGUUUUUAAUUUGACCACUGAUCGUUGUGGACAUCUCAAUGAUGUUGUGUUGAUUACUGAGAAAAGGGUAAGACGGAUUUGAAUACUUGAUUUAUUCAUUUGCAUUCUGCACAUCUGAGCUUUCAUCAUUUGAGAUUGCUCUAUCUAUGUAUCAUUUCCAUAGUAGUUGUGUACUACCCUAUUAGACAUGCGUAAGGGAUUUGCUUCAGUACUUCAAAAGGAGAGAUUUAAUCUCUUGUAUAUAAAUUAUAUUGUUUGGUGCACUUUUUAUGCAAUUAACAUUUUCUAGGAACCCGGUUGAUUUUUUUAUUACAUGUGUCGGGAUUGAACCGAGAGAAUUGUCGCACCUCCCAACUGUAAGAGUUAUAAAAAUCACCUGUUUAUAUUUGGUUAUAGAGUUUAUAGACAUUUUAGAUUAGAUCAACAUAUAACUGAAUGUUGUUACCUAAUGUGUAUGGUUUUGAGUGGGAUUCCUUGGUUCACCAGGUCCAGGUCCAAUGUCUCCGAUUAGUAACCAUCUAUCGAUGGUUGCUCAUAUUACAUUUUUUCACGUACCUUUUUUGUGAUUCCUUAUCUCUAACAUACAGUUUUGGAGCCUUUAGCUUAUGUGGGAGUAGAUGAUGGAUGACUCCGAGCAACCAGUUUCUAUAUUUAUUCCAAGAAGUACACACGUCUGAGAUUCAGAAAUAUGUUGGUACACCUCUCGGUUUCAUAGCUUUGUGGUGUAGGAUUAUAAUUUUGAGUUAAGCGAAAAACAUAAAAACUGCUAUUUGCCUCGUCUGAAACAAACAUCUUAUAUUUCACAGGCUCUUGGUACGGUUCCCGGCAAUAACUCCAUUAGAAUAGAUCAGAGGGUCAGCUGUGAUGAUCCUAGAUUCCUAGGGCAAAGCUGCAAACCUCUAGGCUAUGUGUGUCUCCAUCGCAAAUUAUCCCUAUUUAUUUGUUUAGUUAAGUACAAAAUGAUAGAGGAAAUUUCUUAUUUUUAGAUUCUCAAUGUACCACUUUGGGGUUGUUUGAGCGCUGAACAAUGUUCCCAUGUUGACCAUUUCACGUGUCUUUGCAAUAUUGAUAAGCAUGAUAAUGCCUCAGAUUUUGUCCUCAGGAUUUAUGAUGAUUUAUUACUACCACCUAACCUAUUUAAGAGAUGCCUAAUUUGGAUUUCUUAAAUAACAGUUUCUCUGCAGGAGAUACUAAAACACUUUCAUAGAUAGCUAUAAGCUUUGGUUUUGGGUGUCUCUGUUUCGACAAGGUUACCUGUGCCAGGAUGAGCAUUGGGUGUUCUGAUCCAUGGGCAUGGUUUUUUCCCGUGUGGUUUUGGUUGAGGUCAUGUGAGAAAGUUCUGUACUUCUCACUUAAAGUACUUGAUUGAAAUUACUUGCCUUUGUGAUCGUGUGAGAAAUUUCUUACUAGAGCUUCAGUACAAUCAUUCAUUUCAUUUUAAAAUUAGACAAGUCAAGUUGUUAUUUAGUGCAUGCUAGAACAUACUUUAUCAGGAACCAUCAAGCCCUGUAAACUGAUUUGGCUUUUGCUCAUAUUUGUUUUAACACUUGAAGAGUUCUCAUGUCUAAUUCCAUGUCAGAUAUAGCUUGAGAAGCUACAACAAGUGAGUCCUUUCAUUCACUAAAGAUAUUGCCAGCUCCUUAUCACCCAAAGUAAUUGGUUGCUUCAAAUUCGACCUUCCCGUUAUAGUUUGUGUUUUCACAUGAGGAAGUUAAGUGUAUCAUGCUAUGUUUAAAAUUCCAGAGGUAUGUUAUGUCUCUUAUCUGCUUCCUGACGUUGUUUGGUUCCUUGCAUUCAUCGGUGGCUUCUUUCCCUGCGCUGUUAUUAUUCCUGCAUGGUUCUUCAGAGUUGCUAUUGGAGGAGAGCAUUCGAAGGCCCUCUAUUUUGUUCCCUGUUCCUUCGAGUCCAUAAGCUAGAAUUGUGCUUUGCUUGCCUUCGUUGGUUUUCCGCGGUCUCAAUGCACUCUUGUCCUUCUGUUUCCUCCAGUGCUGUGUCUCUCAAGUGCACCUUGAUUAGUAAGAAUUUAGAAAUGGUUGCCAUUUUAUAAUACAAUUCAGUUAACUGGUGCGGAAGUGUUUAUGUGGAGCUAGCAGUUCAUCUUCCCCCUUUUCUUGUUGCAGUAUUUGUACACACUAAUUUUUCGUCUACAUGAUUCCCCAGUGUGAAAUUUGACUUAUGGUUACCCACUCAUCUUCCUUCUCAUUUCCUCCACUGAGACGCCUCCUUCAUUGAGAUGUACUCUGUCAGCUAAGGGCAUGCAGCAUUCAGUGAGAUAUAGCAGCCAAUGAACAGCCUAAUGGAUCCCUCACACGAGUUGAGCCCCAAAACCUCUUUUGUGAGUUUCCUUACCAAAUGGCCUCAUUAUGAUGUGAGGUCCAUGGGCUCUAAAUCUUAGGGGUUUCUACUUUGUAGCUUCCAGUUCCGUUUCAAUUCAGUGUUCAUAGCGUCAACUAUAUUUUUAAUCAAUGCUUGUGUCUUAUUCUGUUACCUCGUUUUUAUGCAUGUUCUUGUUAUUUUUGGUCAAGUGGUGAUUGGAAAAGGAUUUUUCUGAGUUUAAAUACCUCCAAAAAAAUGAAUGGAAAAUAUCUCGUGCAAUUUCCAAAAAAUCUAAUUUGAUUUCUUUUUAAUAACUAUUCGAAUUGUGGGUUAGUUGUCCUGUUGAAUGCAACCUGAAUAGCAUCAUGUUUUUGUGUGCAACAAUUGCUUAUGAGUUUGAAUCAGGCUAUUUUUCCUUUGUGCAGUGGUUCUCUGGCUUUCGGCCAGAAUUUCGGCUCAUCUAAGGAAAAGUGAGAAACUAGGAAUUGCAGCCUAUGGGGAGGAUGAACUGGCCUCUUAUGUAUGCUCAAGAUCCAUGUUGUGGCCGGUUCAAUUGUACAUACCCUUAUGUAUGCUCAAGAUCCAUGUUGUGCCCGAUUCAAUUGUAUAGAGCACCAAGGAGGAAGCUCUAGGGGAUGAAUAGAGAACAUGAGAUGCUAACCAUCUGGCUAUGAAGGGGUUUCUUGAGAGUCAAAGGAUGGUAUGCAUAUCAUAUUUGGAUGUUGUAACAAUAUUGAUCCUGCUCUAUUCAGAUACUUUUGAGAUUAUAAGUCAUUGUUGCCGUACAAAUUGCACCCCUUAUUAUGUGAAUGGAUCAUAUAAUAAGUUCAGAACAGCUGCAUUUACUUACGGUUUGUGCAUGCACACUUAUAUAUUUUUUCUCCCUUGAGCUGGAUCAUAUUCAAUGCACUCCAUUUUUACAGCUUCAGAUUGUUUUUGGAUAGGCUUCCCAAAAUAGGAAGUAUGGUUACAAUGAUGGAAUCUGUGAAGUGUUGUCAUUUAUACAUGUAAUUUACAGGUUUUGUUUCCAGUUGAAGAAUAAGCCAUGGAUAGUAGUGUGGGCUAUUGAGUCACGUCCUGAUAAUUCAUGAUUCAUGAUUGCGCCUGAUCUGUAAAUUGCCGGGUUCAGUGACUACCUCUGACACCUCGGUUUUGCAGUCAUUCCUUGCAGGUAAAUCAAGUAAAGAUUAGGCCAGUCGACAGUACCCAUAGUGGUUGUAGUGUCGAUGGCCGGUGAGCUUCUUUAGGUCAAAGGCCAACCAAAAUGGCAUUGCUCUCUGCUCCCAGCACAAGGUCUUGGCCGGCAUACAAGUAGAGCAAUGUUGUAAUGUACCCAUUAAAUUAGGUUGAAGCAAAGUAUUGAUGCAACAAUAGAGAUGUGUAUUCUGUCAUUAUUUUCACCCAUAUUUCCUGUGUUUAUAAAUGUUAAGCUCAAUUUUGUGGUAUCAGUUGAGUAUUGAUGAACUCCAGGUUUGUGGACUUUGGUUAAUAUUACAGGAAGAGAAGACUUUAUUUUCUGCUUUGCAUGGAUAUAUUAAGUAACCUCAAGCUCAAUUUCAUUCAUUAUUCUGAUCGCCUACCUAAAGUUAAGUUUAAAUACCAUUAUGUUUUCCUAUUGUCAAA